AAAAGAAAAAACGCCUAGGACGAAUCCGAAUUGUCCUAGGCAUAGGGGAAUGGCUCAGACUGAGCCGUGCGCUAACUUAAAAAAUUCCACAUACUUUAGGGAGAAGUGAAAGUAACGUUAAGUGUAGUUAACAAAACUAAAAAAGUAUAAAAAAUUUACAAAUAU
rnacentral:sRNA from 1 species